CACGUAGGGGGGCAAGCGUUGUCCGGAUUUAUUGGGCGUAAAGAGCUCGUAGGCGGUUCGGUAAGUUGGGUGUGAAACCUCCAGGCUCAACCUGGAGACGCCACCCGAUACUGCUGUGACUAGAGUCCGGUAGGGGAGCGUGGAAUUCCUGGUGUAGCGGUGAAAUGCGCAGAUAUCAGGAGGAACACCAGCGGCGAAGGCGGCGCUCUGGGCCGGAACUGACGCUGAGGAGCGAAAGCGUGGGUAGCAAACAGG
rnacentral:rRNA from 1 species